CCAGACUGGCCAGAGAGGCCCCAUUGUGCUGCCAUCUCUUGCAUCUCAUAUUCUUCAACCCUGUCAGAAGAGCUGGGGUGGCCCUGACUGCCAGGGCCAGCGGAGUGGGCUGUUUGUAUGGGACUGAGGGUGAGGUGUGUGCAGGAGCUGCACUGACUCGGCCGCCUGCGUGCUGUGUGUCCUUGGGAUGUUCCCUAGCCU
rnacentral:lncRNA from 10 species